rnacentral:rRNA from 1 species
AGAGUGAACGCUGGCGGCAGGCCUAACACAUGCAAGUCGAACGGCAGCGCGAGAGAGCUUGCUCUCUUGGCGGCGAGUGGCGGACGGGUGAGGAAAACGUCGGAAUCUGCCUAUUUGUGGGGGAUAACGUAGGGAAACUUACGCUAAUACCGCAUACGACCUACGGGUGAAAGCGGAGGACCUUCGGGCUUCGCGCAGAUAGAUGAGCCGACGUCGGAUUAGCUAGUUGGCGGGGUAAAGCCCACAAGGCGACGAUCCGUAGC